rnacentral:rRNA from 1 species
CAGUAGCCGCGGGAAUACGUAGGUGGCAAGCGUUGUCCGGAAUUAUUGGGCGUAAAGGGCUCGCAGGCGGUUUCUUAAGUCUGAUGUGAAAGCCCACGGCUCAACCGUGGAGGGUCAUUGGAAACUGUUAAACUUGAGUGCAGGAGAGAAAAGUGGAAUUCCUAGUGUAGCGGUGAAAUGCGUAGAGAUUAGGAGGAACACCAGUGGCGAAGGCGGCUUUUUGGCCUGUAACUGACACUGAGGCGCGAAAGCGUGGGGAGCGAACAGGAUUAGAUACCCCGGUAGUCCCUGUCUCUUAUAC